CAAUAGUUGUUGUUAAAAAGGUUAUUGUGUCAUCUGAUAAGUAGAACUCAAAAAAAUUCCAUACUGAGCUUGACCUAUUAUCAAAGAUUAAACCAUGCCCAUUUGCCCAAACUGCUUAGCUAUUGUGAAGAAGGUGGAGAAAGGCUUACGGUUUGAGUUCAUGGCUCUUGGUUCCUUGCACCAACAUCAUCAUGUGAAGAACAAGGCAC
rnacentral:misc_RNA from 1 species